rnacentral:rRNA from 1 species
UACGUAGGGUGCGAGCGUUGUCCGGAAUUAUUGGGCGUAAAGGGCUCGUAGGCGGUCUGUCGCGUCGGGGAGUGAAAACUCAGGGCUUAACCCUGAGCCUGCUUCCGAUACGGGCAGACUAGAGGUAUGCAGGGGAGAACGGAAUUCCUGGUGUAGCGGUGAAAUGCGUAGAGAUCGGGAGGAACACCGGUGGCGAAGGCGGGUCUCUGGGCAAUUC